rnacentral:rRNA from 1 species
AGAGUUUGAUCCUGGCUCAGGACGAACGCUGGCGGCGUGCCUAACACAUGCAAGUCGAGCGAAUGAAGUUCCUUCGGGAACGGAUUUAGCGGCGGACGGGUGAGUAACACGUGGGCAACCUGCCUCAUAGAGGGGAAUAGCCCUUCCGAAAGGGAGAUUAAUACCGCAUAAGAUUGUAGUACCGCAUGGUACAGCAAUUAAAGGAGCAAUCCGCUAUGAGAUGGGCCCGCGGCGCAUUAGCUAGUUGGUGAGGUAACGGCUCACCAAGGCGACGAUGCGUAGCCGACCCUGAGAGGGUGAUCGGCCACAUUGGGGACUGAGACACGGCCCAGACUCCUACGGGGAGGCAGCAGUGGGGGAAUAUUGCACAAUGGGGGGAAACCCUGAUGCAGCAACGCCGCGUGAGUGAUGACGGCCUUCGGGUUGUAAAAGCUCUGUCUUUCUAGGGACGAUAAUGACGGUACCUGAGGAGGAAGCCACGGCUAACUACGUGCCAGCAGCCGCGGUAAUACGUAGGUGGCGAGCGUUGUCCGGAUUUACUGGGCGUAAAGGGAGCGUAGGCGGAUUUUUAAGUGAGAUGUGAAAUACUCGGGCUUAACCUGAGUGCUGCAUUUCAAACUGGAAGUCUAGAGUGCAGGAGAGGAGAAGGGAAUUCCUAGUGUAGCGGUGAAAUGCGUAGAGAUUAGGAAGAACACCAGUGGCGAAGGCGCUUCUCUGGACUGUAACUGACGCUGAGGCUCGAAAGCGUGGGGAGCAAACAGGAUUAGAU